rnacentral:misc_RNA from 1 species
CUGCUUUCCUCACGUUCGAUCAGUCAUUGCUCCACGUUCUAACGUUGGAUGCAAAGUGGGGGGUUCCUGUGUUGCCUACCUAUUGAGAUGGAAAUCGGUUGCCUUUGUUGUGCCUUUCGUCCUCGCGUCCUCUUGGAUGUUCGGAUGGACUAGACGGAAGUGCUCAUGUUCCACGGACGUCUCACAUGAUUGUUUCGAUGGACCAUGAACGUCUUCUCGUUCUCUCGGAUGCGGAAAGUCUCUCAUGGGCGUGGGUCAUUGGCCCUCGGUCCCGAAUCUGUAAGCGAUCGUAUCGCUUUACAUGGGAAUGACGCUCUUGCCUCGUUUUCGACCAUGCGGAGUGGACGGCAAACGCUCCCGUGAUGGAUCGUGCGUGGCGGACGUCGGGAAGGAAUGCUACCUGGUUGAUCCUGCCAGUAGUCAUAUGCUUGUCUCAAAGAUUAAGCCAUGCAUGUGUAAGUAUGAACUAAUUCAGACUGUGAAACUGCC